rnacentral:rRNA from 1 species
UACGGAGGGUGCAAGCAUUAAUCGGAAUUAUUGGGCGUAAAGGGCGCGUAGGCUGAAGGAUAAGUCAGAUGUGAAAUUCCGGAGCUCAACUUCGGAGCUGCAUUUGAAACUAUCUUUCUAGAGGGUUGACGGAGAAAACGGAAUUCCACGUGUAGCGGUGAAAUGCGUAGAUAUGUGGAAGAACACCUGUGGCGAAAGCGGUUUUCUAGUUAAUACCUGACGCUGAGGCGCGAGAGCAAGGGGAGCAAACAGG